rnacentral:rRNA from 11 species
UCUGACUCUGAUAAUUCUGAUUAGGCACCAGAUUUACUCUGUUCUUUGAAGCUAAGAAUGGUAAAUCCUGAUUAGCACUUGGAGGGAAGACCACCAAUAAAUACCAGGUUUUUGCAGGU